rnacentral:lncRNA from 1 species
CUGAUCCCACCAAGAUUCAAGUCAUGGUAGACUGGCCUAGGACCAACUCCCUUAGGGCCCUCAGAGGGUUCUUAGGAUUGAUUGGUUACUAUAGAAAAUAUGUGGCUAACUAUGGAACCAUAUGUCGACCCCUCAUUGACCUGCGAAAGAAGCAUGCCUUUAAAUGGAAUCAAGAGGCUGAGUUAGCCUUCUCUGCUCUCAAAUCUGCCAUGUCCUCAACACCGGUACUUGCAUUGCCUGACUAUACUAAGGAGUUUGUGGUUGAAACCGAUGGUAGUCAAGGAGGUAUUGGGGUUGUGCUCAUGCAUAGCGGUAAGCCAAUUGUUUAUUUCAGCGAGGUACUAGCUCAGAAACACAGAGGGAAGUCCAUUUAUGAGAAGGAGUAUAUGGCCUUAUUGAGUGCCGUGGAUAAAUGGAGGCACUACUUGCAGUUCAAGAAUUUCAUAGUUCGAACUGAUCACCAUAGUUUGAAGUAUCUACUUGAACAAACGGUAACUUCAGCUAUUCAACAGUUAAGGUUUAACUAAGCUGCUGGGGCUUGACUAUGAAGUACAGUACAAGAAGAGGGCUGAAAAUGGGGUAGCUGAUGCUCUUUCUAGACAGCAGGAUGGUUUAAAUGCUCAACCAACUCAAGGGUCAGGACAACUUUUUGCUAUUAGUAUUUUUGUUCCUAUUUGGAUGCAUGACGUAGCUGCUAGCUAUGAAGGGGACCCUCAGGUACAUGACAUAAUCCUAUCACUUUCUAUUGAUUUACAAGGUCCUAGUAUUUGGCAUUAUUCAGUAGGGAUUCUCAGAAAGAAAGGCAAGGUGUACAUAGGGAUGAAUGGCGACCUUAGGCAUCGAUUGAUUGCUUCUUUCCAUGACUCUUCUAGCGGGGGGCAUUCUGGAUAGCUAGGUACCCUAAAAAGACUGGCUCAGCUGUUCACUUGGCCCAGGAUGAAGCAGAUGGUGAUCGAGUAUGUGUCCAGUUGUGAUGUGUUCCAUAGAAGUAAGGAUGACAAUGCAGCUUAUCCCGGGCUUCUACAACCACUCCCCAUUCCCAAUCACGCAUGGAGCCACAUUAGUAUGGAUUUCAUAGAAGGUCUGAACAAAUCAAAAAAUAGAGAAGUGAUACUGGUGGUGGUGGAUAGGUUCACCAAAUAUGCUCACUUUAUUGCCCUGAAACAUCCUUAUACAACUGCUACAGUAGCUGAAGUGUUUUGGAAAAGAGUGCAUAGUCUGCAUGGCACGCCUGAAACCAUAGUCACUGAUAGAGACAAAAUUUUCCUAAGCAUCUUCUGGCAAGCCUUGUUCAAACUCCUGGAGACUCAAUUGCAUUACAGUACAACAUAUAACCCUCAAAUUGAUGGCCAAACAAAGAAGGUGAAUAGGUGUCUUGAAAAUUAUCUCAGGUGUAUGACUACUAGUCGACCUAACCAGUGGAAGCAAUGGUUAUCUGUUGCUGAAUGGUGGUACAGCACUAAUUUCCAUACAAGCUUGCAAUGCACACCGUUUGAUGCCUUGUAUGGCUGCACUCCUCCUCAACUAUCUAUUUGUCCCCUGCUAGAAACUAUUGUACCAACAGCUGAAGAUACUGUGAUGAGGAGACAAGAGAUGCAUCAAUUACUGAAGGACAACUUGAGAAAAGCUCAGGAAAUGAUGAAGUUCUUUGAUGAUAAUAGAAGAAAUGAUUAGGAGUUCCAGGUUGGUGACUUGGUUUAUCUGAAGCUGCAACCAUAUAGACAAACAUCCAUUGCUUUACGAAAGAACCUCAAGCUGAGUUCCAAGUACUAUGGUCCUUAUAAGAUCCUUGCUCAAAUAGGUGUUGUGGCUUACAAGCUAGAAUUACCCCUACAUCUAAAAUUCAUCCAGUCUUUCACGUCUCCUUACUCAAGAAAAAGGUUGGCAAUAGGGUGGUGGUGCAAACAACCCUUCCAAGUACUGGUGAGGAUGGUCAAUUUCUGGUUCGACCAGUGGCUAUCCUCCAAAGGCUGCUGGUUAAGAAGAAUAAUGUGGCAGGUGUUAAUGUCCUAGUGCAAUAGUCUAACCUUCCCCCUGAAGAUGCAACUUGGGAGGAUUACCAAGAUUUGAAGGCCAAGUUUCCUGGGUUCGAUUCCAAUCCUUGAGGUCAAUGACUAUUUGAAGGGGAUGGGAUUGUCAUGCAUCACGUGGCCAAUGUUAAUUAUACAUAGAUGUAGCACAGGGGAUUCGAACUGGUUAUAGCCUUAGCGAUGUGGGUUCAGUUAAUUAGAAACGAAGGGCCACGAUUAGAAGUUAAUUAAUUAGAGA